CACACUUUGUUUUACUCAGUAACUUUAAGAAAAUUAGUUAAUGCUUUGCAACACUGAUUCUUGCUGUUAUUUUUACAAUUAGUACCGACUUCAUAAUUUAUCUUUAAGCACAUCACAGGUUUUAAGAUAAAAUGACUUCAUCUUUUUUUUUUUUUUGAGUCAGGGUCUGGGCUGGAGUGCAGUGGUGUGAUCACAGCUCACUGCAACCUCAAACUCCUGGCCUCAAGCAAUCCUCCAGCCUCAGUCUCCAGGUAGCUGGGUCUACAGGCUCCCACCACUGUACCUGGCUAACUUACUUUUUUAAUGGAGGCUAAUAGCACUUAUCCACUCUAAAAUGGUCUAAAUAUAGGAAACAAAUAUAAAAACACAAAGUU
rnacentral:lncRNA from 1 species